UAUAUGGAAUUCAAAUCAGAUUAUGCACCCUAAAAUGAGAAGGAAGAAGCCGGUGUUUCUGCCGUGGGAAUUGAUCAUGAGGUUGCCGCUGAAGUCUCUUAUCCGUUUCAAGACUGUCUUUCUGCCCCAAUACAUGUUGGUGACAGAUUCGUAGGUUCCUGUAGGGAUUUUUUACUUUUGGACUACAAUCGAAGCUCUUUCAUCUUCAAUCCAUCUACAGGACUUCAUAAAUUUGUAGAUUGGUCACCUAUUUCCAAUAAUAUGGGUGGAUAUGGUUUUGGAUAUGACCCAUCAACCGAUGACUACUCGCUGGUUCAAGCAUCUACAAAUAAAAAUCCUACAACUUCAACCUAGAUGAGCGCGUGUAAUCUGUUUGGAGUAUUUCUCACUCAGAGCUAAUGCUUGGAAAGAAAUUGAGCCUAUCCAUUUGUCUUACCAGGGCUGCUCUGAUCGUGUGGUUUUGGACUUUGGGUUGGUCUUCAACGGUGUCCUUCAUUGAUUGGCUUCACGUCAAGAUGUAUCAAAACAUGUUAUUGCUGCCUUUGAUUUAACCAAACGAGUUUCUCAGAUAUCUCUCUGCCUGUUAAUUUUGUGUAUGCCAGCUUUAAACUUUGUUUUUUUUAGGGCAAUUGGUGGAUUGCUGUGAUGAAGAACCAUUCAGAAAAAAAUGUGGGUGAUGAAAGAAUACAAAAGUGCAGUCACCUUGGACUAAGACCAUUGUUGUGGUGAUAUUCUUGGAAGAGAUGGCCAACCUGCAACUACAUUGCUGAAAUGUAAUGACAAGGGGCAAUUCUGCACACUGUAUGGCUGUGUAUACAGAUUCUCUACUUUCACUCCCUUCUGAUGGCCAGCAAGCUGAAGCAGACGACUAACAAUAGCGAACAAGAAAAAUUAGAUGGUGAAAUAUUUUUGGAUGUCUUCACUAUUUUUUGAUGCUGCUGUUGUAUUAUGGCUUAUGGAUUCUUCUGGUUUUAUAUUGCAUAGAAAAGUAAUAGGCAGAAUGAUGAAACUGCUAUUUCAUUAAUAUGUUUUGUUUAAAUUUAUUUCAUCAUGAUGUUAUUGCCGUUU